UACGUAGGGUCCGAGCGUUAAUCGGAAUUACUGGGCGUAAAGCGUGCGCAGGCGGUUUUGUAAGCCAGAUGUGAAAUCCCCGGGCUUAACCUGGGAACUGCAUUUGGGACUGCAAGGCUCGAGUACGGCAGAGGGAGGUGGAAUUCCACGUGUAGCAGUGAAAUGCGUAGAGAUGUGGAGGAACACCGAUGGCGAAGGCAGCCUCCUGGGCCAGCUACGUGACGCUCAUGCACGAAAGCGUGGGGAGCAAACAGGA
rnacentral:rRNA from 1 species